AUAGAAACUAACAUCAAAAAUUAUUACAAAAUAAUAAAGUAUUUUAAAGGAGUUAUUAAGGAUAAUUAGCAAAUUUAUAAAUAAGGAGGCACAGUCCAAAUGCCGUAAUGUAAUGUACUUAGGUACAAUCAUUUAAGGUUUUAAGUGAAUUAUUAACAAUUAAAGUAGUUAAUAUCUGCAUUUCGUAAACAAACGGCGUUCCUAAGGGAAACCUUUAUAUUUUAUACUUCCUGAAGUAAAUCAUUUCAGUAAGGAAAGGAAAGGAAAUCAACCGAGACUCCAAAAGUAAAGGCGAUUGAAAUUGGAUUAGCCGUAAUCAAAAGUUUAAUGAAGCAACCAGAGAAGGUGUAAACCAUAGUCCUGUAGUUAAAUUUAAGAUAACAAAAGUAUGAUGAGAGAAAACUUGUCAGAAUAAAGGGGAACCAUCCUCUAAGGCUAAGUAUUAUAAAUUUAGCGAUAGUGAAUAGUACUGUAAAGGAACAAUUUGAAAAAGAUUAUAAAAUUAGUGAUUGAAAUAAACUUUGAAUUAGUAACUCUAUAAGCAGUCGAAGUUGUGAAAACAAUGACGGCGUACCUUUUGCAUAAUGGGUCAGCAAGUUAAUAGGAAUAGCAAGGUUAAUAGCCUUAGCGAAAGCGACUAAACUAAUUUAGUGGAGUAAUAAAUUACAAUAUUUUUAUUUAAGAAAUCUUUCUGAUAAAAAGAGUAUUACCUUAUUAUAAUUUAAAAUUAGAUAAGUUAAUAUUUGCUAGAUAUUAGUGUUGGGUAAGUUAUUUCUAUUAGACCCGAAGCUAGAUGAUCUUUCCAGGACCAGAUUUUAAGGAUCGAACAGGUGAAUGUUGCAGAAUUCUCUGAUGAGUUCUGGAAAGCGGUGAAAUGCCAAUCUGAUCUAGUGCUAGCUGGUAUUCUUCGAAACAUAUGUAAGUAUGACAUCUAAUAAGAUUUAUGGAGGUACAGCACGAAAUUCCAAACAAUUAUAGGUGUUGCUUUAGCAGUAACUAUAUGCGUUUAGGUUGUGGGGAUCUAGUAAAUCUUACCAAUGGAAUUUAAACUCGGAAGUACAUAAAUUGCUGUUAGAUAUUCAGACUGCUCAUGAUAAGUUGAGUAGUCAAGACGAAAACAGUCGAGAACACGUAUUAAGGUCCCAAAUGAUUAUUAAGUGAAAUUAAGGAUGUUAUAUAUUGUAUGCAGCUGUAAAGUGAGCCUGGUAGUCGCUACUUUUAAUGAUCGUUGUAACAACGCAUCAGCUCUUUAGAUUGUAGCACCGAAAAUUUAACGGGUCUAAAUAAUCAACCGAUAUCGUGUUGGUUAAUAAUAUAACACAUUAUUAAUUUAGGUAGAAGAACAUUCAGGAACGUAAGAUACACAGUGUUUCAUUGUGAUUGACGAACUGAAGAGAGAAUGCUGACAUGAGUAACGUAAAAAGAAGUUAUAAUACUUCUCGCCGAAUACGAAAGGGUUAUAAGUAAGGUUUCAACUAACUUAUGUUAAAUGCGGGUCUCUAAGGAUAUGGAACCAAAGUUUCAUCUGAUGAGUAAAUGAUAAACAGCCUAAAGGAUAGAUAAGGCCAAGAAAAUAAUAUCAUUUAAGUAAAUAUCCUUUAGUGGAUAGAACUAAUGUUUCUUUUUUAAAGAAGGUUUACUUUUGUAAACUGUAAAUGUUCUAGCUUAAGUUUAUUUUGUUACUUGUAAAUUUAACUAAUAUUUUUACAUGUUAAAUUUAAGUGAUGCUUAACUACCGUACCCUAAACCGACACAGGUUCGUAGGUAGAGAAUACUAAGGCGUAGAGCUAAAAGUUGUAAAGGAACUCGGCAAGAUGUCCUCAUAAGUUUGGCGAUAAGAGGAACCAAUAAACAUUAUAUUUAAUAUUAGGUAAAACUAUUUAUUAAGCUUAUUAAUUCAUUAAUAGGGGAAAUCCAAACUAUAAUGUUGAUUUUGGUGGCACAAAAUCGGAGGCCUCGACUGUUUACUAAAAACACAAGAAUGUGCAAUGAUGAAAGUCAUAGUAUACGUUCUGAAAUUUGCUCGAUGCCAUUAAUAUAAAAGAGGUAAUGGGUAACUGUUACUGAUUGAAAGUCUGGUUAAUAGCGGUCUUAACUAUGAGGAUCCUAAGGUAGCGAAAUAAAUUGGCCAUUAAAUGUGGUCCGGUAUCAAUAAUGUAACGAAGGUCUCACUGUCUCUACAACUUGCUCAGUGAAAUUGAAUUACCCGUGCAGAUGCGGGUUACCUCCAGUGGGACGGGAAGACCCUAUGCAGCUUUACUGUAGUUAGUUAAUACGCUGAUCUAGAACAAUUUUUAACAAUAGUGAUUAGGGAUGUCGAAGGACGUUGUUUUUGUAAUAUUAUAAAAAUACCCCAAAAGGGCUUGCGUGGAAACCUCCAGAUAAAAAUUGGGUCAGUGUUUACCUUUGUUGUUAUUUUGCGUGUAAAAAAUUAAAAUACUUAAAUGUAGCUUUAAUAAAAAAAGAAAGGUUGUAAUUCGUAAGAAUAUUCCUAACCACGUAAUCUAAACUAAUUAGGGAGAAUUGACUAAUUGGCAGUUUGACUGGGGCGGUCGUCUUUAAUAAAGUAGCAAAGUACACCCACAGAAAUAAACAAUAAAAAUAUUAAUCCCCCUCGGGGUUAUCAAACUAAAUAGGAAAUUGUAAUGGUAUAAAAUGAUUUAAUACCUAGUCAGCCCUGCUAGCCUCAAGGGGUUCGGGUGUUGUUAAAGUAUAAAUAUUAUUUUAUAAAGGAUUUCUUUUCAUUUUAACAUUAAACCAUUAAACAUUAUUUAUGUAUAAACUUUUUUUAAUAAGGUAUAGCUAGAAAUCGAAUGGAGAUCAAUCAACUAGUGUUAAGGUUGUGUAUAGUGUAAUGGCGGUAAGCAUACCUAACUGAAAGACUCAAAAGUCGAACAGAUACGUAAGUAGGGCAUAGUGACCCCUCGCUAUAAUAUGGAAUAGACGGGGAUCAUUUGAUAAAAGUUACGCUAGGGAUAACAGGCUGAUAGCCGGCGAGAGUACACAUUGUCCCGGCUGUUUGGCACCUCGAUGUCGAUUCAUCCUAUCCUCCGGGUGAAGAAUCUUGGAAGGGUUGGGCUGUUCGCCCAUUAAAAGGGUACGUGAAUUGGGUUUAAUACGACGUGAGUCAGUAUGGUCCCUAUCUUCUGGAGGAACAAUUAGUAAAAAGGGGCAGACCUUCUAGUACGAAAGGAUCAAUAGGCUGUGUUUCCAUAGUGUACCAAUUGUUGAAAUCAAUACUAAUAUAAACCAUAUUAUCUUUGAUGUGGUAACUACUAUACUUAGGUAUAGGUAUAAUAACAAAUAUACCCCAAAGGGGCUUGCGAUAGUUACCUAUAAAAUAUAGUCCAUUAAAACCGCAAGGUUUGCAAGGUUAUAUACAUAUUUUGGCACAGUUGGGUAGCCACAAACAUGGUAGAUAAGUGCUGAAAGUAUCUCAAGCAAGAAUCUACCCCCUAGAUACUAACGAUUAUAUAAAAAAUAAUCAAUAAGAUAAGAAAUAGAACAUUUCUUGGAUAGGAUGCAAAUGAAAGUACUGAGAAGUAUUUAGUUUAGCAUUACUAAUUGGUCACAAGACUUUAUGUUAAGAUAUUCACAC
rnacentral:rRNA from 1 species